rnacentral:rRNA from 1 species
AGGAAUAUUGGUCAAUGGACGAGAGUCUGAACCAGCCAAGUAGCGUGCAGGAAGACGGCCCUAUGGGUUGUAAACUGCUUUUAUAAGGGAAUAAAGUGAGUCUCGUGAGACUUUUUGCAUGUACCUUAUGAAUAAGGACCGGCUAAUUCCGUGCCAGCAGCCGCGGUAAUACGGAAGGUCCGGGCGUUAUCCGGAUUUAUUGGGUUUAAAGGGAGCGUAGGCCGGAGAUUAAGCGUGUUGUGAAAUGUAGACGCUCAACGUCUGCACUGCAGCGCGAACUGGUUUCCUUGAGUACGCACAAAGUGGGCGGAAUUCGUGGUGUAGCGGUGAAAUGCUUAGAUAUCACGAAGAACUCCGAUUGCGAAGGCAGCUCACUGGAGCGCAACUGACGCUGAAGCUCGAAAGUGCGGGUAUCGAACAGGAUUAGAUACCCUGGUAGUCCGCACGGUAAACGAUGGAUGCCCGCUGUUGGUCUGAAUAGGUCAGCGGCCAAGCGAAAGCAUUAAGCAUCCCACCUGGGGAGUACGCCGGCAACGGUGAAACUCAAAGGAAUUGACGGGGGCCCGCACAAGCGGAGGAACAUGUGGUUUAAUUCGAUGAUACGCGAGGAACCUUACCCGGGCUUGAAUUGCAGAGGAAGGAUUUGGAGACAAUGACGCCCUUCGGGGUCUCUGUGAAGGUGCUGCAUGGUUGUCGUCAGCUCGUGCCGUGAGGUGUCGGCUUAAGUGCCAUAACGAGCGCAACCCCUCUCCUUAGUUGCCAUCAGGUUAAGCUGGGCACUCUGGGGACACUGCCACCGUAAGGUGUGAGGAAGGUGGGGAUGACGUCAAAUCAGCACGGCCCUUACGUCCGGGGCUACACACGUGUUACAAUGGCAGGUACAGAGAGACGGUCCUUUGCAAAACGGAUCAAAUCCUUAAAGCCUGUCUCAGUUCGGACUGGGGUCUGCAACCCGACCCCACGAAGCUGGAUUCGCUAGUAAUCGCGCAUCAGCCAUGGCGCGGUGAAUACGUUCCCG